GUCCCUGUAGCGCAAUGGAUAGCGCGUUGGACUUCUAAUCCAAAGGUCAUGGGUUUGAAUCCCACCUGGGAUG